rnacentral:ncRNA from 1 species
AGAAAACCGUUGAUUGAGAAGAGUAGGUGCGGAGUGCUCCCUUCCAGAGAGCUGCGGGCGGUGAGAGCGCAGCGGGCAAGGCGCCGGACUGAAUGGACUCAUGAGGGCGGGACGAAAGGCGGACGGCCGAGUAGUGCCCGACGGGAACUCCACCCGUUAUCAAGGGAGCGCACAUGGUGGUGUGCGGAGCGAGUGGGCGUUUAGACGCCAAUUUGGGUGGUACCGCAGGAGAGUGUUUCCCCUGUCCCAGCA